CGAUUUGCCAAGCGAACUGACCGUAAAAUUUAGAGGCCCAUCCAGCUGGCAAUCACGCACACGGCCUAGUAUUUAGGCUGCUGCCUCAACCAAUCAACGUUUACCGACACGCACACCAUAAACCACAAAGCAACGUUUGGUCCGCAGAAGAUCCGCUGCGCAUAUGACGCACGCAGUGACGUUAAUUGCGCAAGUUGCGGUCUGCCGGUGCGAUCCAGCUGUCACCGCCAAUGGCUUCGCGCCACGUGCGGCCAAUCUCACCCGUCCAAGACCGACGACUCCAUCUGGACCGUCCACCUCGCGAUACCGGACAAUAAAUACCUCGCCUCGGCAUAUUUGCAGAACCAGACCAAAGGAAUCCCUGGCCGCGUCGUCCUCUGCCACACGCAACCAACCCCCGCCAGGCUAGAUCUAGAAUAGAUGAACGUCUCCACCAAAUUCCAACCACCGACGGAUCGGAAGUUGAGUUCGCGCCAUGAUCGGAACUCGAUUCGAUCUCGGUACGGUGAGCGGUGAGCCUCUCCGCCAUGAUUUAUGCGCAACCCCCCGUGUGCUAUCUCCUGCGCAGGUUCCUCGGGUCCACCAGCGCGUUGAGCUUCCGGCGUGGCUAGAUGCGAGGCGGGGUGGCUUCUGCAGACGGAACCUUCAGAUCUGCCUGUCCGGUUAGCCAGAUACGUUGCAGAUCUGAUGGCUCACGGCGGAUCUCGGUUGUUCCCGGCGGGCUGGAGCUGACGCGGCGGCGAGGACGGGCCGUCUCCGGCGAGUUCGUGGUAUCCAGGACCUGACAUGAUCUACCUCCUGCGACGUCGACGACGACUCUUUGUAAUAAUUAUUCGGAAGAACUUUCGAUAAUUAUUAGAUCCAAGAGGUCGGAGGAGACUGCAAGGUAAGGGCCGUGUAACAAGCGAGGGGCUUGUGAGAAAAAAGAGAUGUGACAAACCUAGAGGCCUUUGCCAUGUUGGGUGCGCUCGCAUGGCAGGCCGCCACCGUAAUAAAGAUGAUUGUUGUGUCUCGGGGGGAGAUCGCACGGGGGUUAUUUUUAUUCUAGCCCCGGGUUCUCCCCCCUGUGUUCUGGUGUCCCUUGCUGUGUGCUCGUGACGACCGAUCCGACUUGCUGGCACCACGAACUACCGUCGUGAUUCGAUCAUGGAGCAACCGACCAUAUAGCAAAGGUACAACCGCUAAUUUACCAGCUGAAGUUUACCUAAGCAUGUAGAAAGCCUGAUAGAUUCAGGUUCUGAGGUCGAUUACGAGUUCCGUGACAUGUAGAGUUCAUUAUUGACUUACAUAAUUCAGUUAAUUUGUACCCAGAGCACAUCACAGCAAUUUACACUAAUUGUAAUCCAUUUUCGAGAUGUAACUAUGGCACAUAAUAUCAUAAGGUUUUUUAUACUAUA